rnacentral:lncRNA from 1 species
AUCAACCCAGCAAGUUUUGUGAUUUGUGAAAAAGCUGUAUAAAGGAAGAGUUGCUUAAUUUGCAUUUAAGUUCACUCCCAUGUUUUUGUCCAGGAAUGUGCUUGAAAACUGCUAGGUAGUAGUUUAAUUUUAUGGAUAGUUUGGUUUAUUUUGUGGAUUGAAAAGUGAAUUUGAGAUGUAUAUAGGGAUAUUUUGGUAUAUAUUUU